rnacentral:rRNA from 1 species
AUUGAACGCUGGCGGCAGGCCUAACACAUGCAAGUCGAACGGUAACAGGAAGAAGCUUGCUUCUUUGCUGACGAGUGGCGGACGGGUGAGUAAUGUCUGGGAAACUGCCUGAUGGAGGGGGAUAACUACUGGAAACGGUAGCUAAUACCGCAUAACGUCGCAAGACCAAAGAGGGGGACCUUCGGGCCUCUUGCCAUCGGAUGUGCCCAGAUGGGAUUAGCUAGUAGGUGGGGUAACGGCUCACCCAGGCGACGAUCCCUAGCUGGUCUGAGAGGAUGACCGGCCACGCUGAAACUGAGACACGGUCCAGACUCCUACGGGAGGCAGCGGUGGGGAAUAUUGCACAAUGGGCGCAAGCCUGAUGCAGCCAUGCCGCGUGUAUGAACAAGGCCUUCGGGUUGUAAAGUACUUUCAGCGGGGAGGAAGGGAGUAAAGUUAAUACCUUUUCUCAUUGACGUUACCCGCAGAAGAAGCACCGGCUAACUCCGG